rnacentral:rRNA from 1 species
GAUGAACGCUGGCGGCGUGCCCAAUACAUGCAAGUCGAGCGAACGGACGAGAAGCUUGCUUUUCUGAUGUUAGCGGCGGACGGGUGAGUAACACGUGGAUAACCUACCUAUAAGACUGGGAUAACUUCGGGAAACCGGAGCUAAUACCGGAUAAUAUUUUGAACCGCAUGGUUCAAAAGUGAAAGACGGUCUUGCUGUCACUUAUAGAUGGAUCCGCUCUGCAUUAGCUAGUUGGUAAGGUAACGGCUUACCAAGGCAACGAUGCAUAGCCGACCUGAGAGGGUGAUCGGCCACACUGGAACUGAGACACGGUCCAGACUCCUACGGGAGGCAGCAGUAGGGAAUCUUCCGCAAUGGGCGAAAGCCUGACGGAGCAACGCCGCGUGAGUGAUGAAGGUCUUCGGAUCGUAAAACUCUGUUAUUAGGGAAGAACAUAUGUGUAAGUAACUGUGCACAUCUUGACGGUACCUAAUCAGAAAGCCACGGCUAACUACGUG